UACGUAGGGUGCAGGCGUUAAUCGGAAUUACUGGGCGUAAAGCGUGCGCAGGCGGUUGUGCAAGACAGAUGUGAAAUCCCCGGGCUUAACCUGGGAAUUGCAUUUGUGACUGCACGGCUAGAGUGUGUCAGAGGGGGGUAGAAUUCCACGUGUAGCAGUGAAAUGCGUAGAUAUGUGGAGGAAUACCGAUGGCGAAGGCAGCCCCCUGGGAUAACACUGACGCUCAUGCACGAAAGCGUGGGGAGCAAACAGG
rnacentral:rRNA from 1 species